rnacentral:rRNA from 1 species
CAGCAGCCACGGGAAUACAGAGGGUGCGAGCGUUAAUCGGAUUUACUGGGCGUAAAGCGUGCGUAGGCGGCUUCUUAAGUCGGAUGUGAAAUCCCUGAGCUUAACUUAGGAAUUGCAUUCGAUACUGGGAAGCUAGAGUAUGGGAGAGGAUGGUAGAAUUCCAGGUGUAGCGGUGAAAUGCGUAGAGAUCUGGAGGAAUACCGAUGGCGAAGGCAGCCAUCUGGCCUAAUACUGACGCUGAGGUACGAAAGCAUGGGGAGCAAACAGGAUUAGAUACCCGGGUAGUCCCUGUCUCUUAUAA